CUGACAUAACCGUACUCAAUACAAGCAUAUGCAGACAACCACAUCAAAGUUAGUUUUUCAAUGCAGAAGGGAAGCGACAUACAUAUCAUAUAUAUUAAAUAAGAACGUUUAAAUUCUAUUAUCCUGAUAUAAGCCAAAUGAAAUAAAUGAUCCUAUAGUGAUACCAGUUAUUCCAAAAAUGGCAGGACAGCUAUAGGAUCGGACAAAUUUUCUGUGCGUGAAGCCAAGUCUUAGACUUCAAAAAGAGCAUUCCUCGCCAGGCCAAACACAUAUAAAG
rnacentral:misc_RNA from 1 species